UACGGAGGGGGCAAGCGUUGUUCGGAAUUACUGGGCGUAAAGGGCGCGCAGGCGGCUGCUCAAGUCAGGCGUGAAAGGCCUGGGCUCAACCCGGGAAUUGCGCUUGAGACUGGGCUGGCUUGAGUGCGGGAGAGGAUGGUGGAAUUCCCAGUGUAGAGGUGAAAUUCGUAGAUAUUGGGAAGAACACCGGUGGCGAAGGCGGCGACCUGGUCCGAUACUGACGCUGAGGCGCGAAAGCGUGGGGAGCAAACAGG
rnacentral:rRNA from 1 species